UAGUCCUACGGGACGCAGCAGUGGGGAAUAUUGCACAAUGGGGGAAACCCUGAUGCAGCGACGCCGCGUGAGUGAAGAAGUAUCUCGGUAUGUAAAGCUCUAUCAGCAGGAAAGAUAAUGACGGUACCUGACUAAGAAGCCCCGGCUAACUACGUGCCAGCAGCCGCGGUAAUACGUAGGGGGCAAGCGUUAUCCGGAUUUACUGGGUGUAAAGGGAGCGUAGACGGCAGCGCAAGUCUGGAGUGAAAUGCCGGGGCCCA
rnacentral:rRNA from 1 species